ACUGGAACCAGCCUCGGGCUCUGAUGACACCAGCUCCGGAGCCGCAGACGCGAGAGACCUGGGGGAAAGGGCUGGGGCCGGGCAGGAAAGUUACCUUUCACUAACGGCCCUUCCUCGCCCCAGCUCUGCUCCCGGGCGGGUGGGGGUCUGCGAGUCCCGGAGCUGCUGCCCUCCCUGACCCCCCCGGCUCUGCUCCCCUGAGCGCUUGCGGAUCCGAGCCAGCCUCGGGAGAGUGAUCGGCCCGGGCCGGGCCAGGGACCGAGUCUCCCAGCCCGAGGGGAGGGGGCGGGAGGAGGGAGACAGGGUGAGUGUGCUGCUCCACGUGAAAUUGCAUGCACAUUACCUAAUGAGAUAAUUUGCAUAAAUGUAGAGGAACAUAAACUGCAGCAAAUGCUUUAUUACCCCUGCUCUGCAGAAUGUAUCAAGUAACCGGAGUGUGUAUCCUUGAAUUUACUGCAGAAACCACAUCUCCCUCCUAGUGUCUGUGAGAGGGUCCAUUGGAUUGAAGGGAUAGCUCAGUGGUUUGAGCAUUGGCCUGCUAAAUCUAGGCUUGUGAGUUCAAUCCUUGAGGGGGCCAUUUACGGAUCUGGGGCAAAAAUUGGGGAUUGGUCCUGCUUCAAGCAGCGGGUUGGACUAGAUGACCUCCUGAGGUCCCUUCCAACCCUAACCUUCUAUGAUUCAAAGAGUCCUAUACACAUGGCUCAUUCAUAGGCAAAAGUGCUGACCUGCGGAAGAACGGCUUUGUCUCUUCUCUGCCCCUACAUUGCAGUAACGCUGGCUCAGCUCCAGGCGGGAUGGAGGGGAUGGAGUGGAGAGCCAAAUGAUGAAAGAAUAACUGAGUUUUCAGAUUCCAAUGCCCAGACUUGAUCUGACAUCCCAGCUGGACAGAGGGGAAGCACCCUGGCUCCAAGAAAAGGGAGCUCCUGAGUGGCAACUGCACAGGUUCCCAUGCCCACCAGCACAGAGAUUGACUCCUGUCUAGAUCCUCUAUCCCUGCAGGUUACGGGAUGGUAAGGGAAAACAGGGAAGAGACUCCUCUGCAGGCAGGUCCAGAGCAAGCAGCACCACAAGGGAGGGGAUCUGGAAGAUCCGAAGGGAGUGUUUCCAAGAGUCCUGAGCAGGAAAAAGCCUGUGACCAUCAGAGUGAGCCAGUCAUGGAGAAUGGAAACCCUCUAAGAAAGAGAGGGAAUAAAUCCACUCACAGGACAACCAAGACACCUGAAGAAAUUGACCAGCCGUGACACCUCAGUGGAAAGAGAUCAAACGUGGUGAAUGCAGGAAAAGCUUCCUUUGGAGAUCCAGGCUGAUCACCCAUCAGCAACUGCACACAGGGGAGAAACCCUACAAGUGUGAUUGCGGGAAAAGCUUCAAUGAGAGCUCAGCCCUUAGUGUGCACCAGAGGAUCCACAUUGGAGAAAAGCCUUUUAUAUGCCCUGACUGCGGGAAAAAUUUCACUCAGAGCUCAAACCUCGUUCAGCACCAGAGGAUCCACACAGAAGAGAAACCCUACAAGUGUCGUGACUGUGGAAAAAGUUUCAACGACAACAGGCACCUCAUUAGACACCAGGCAGCUCAUGUUUCUGGAGAAAAGCUAUACAAGUGCCCUGACUGCAGGAAAAGCUUCAGCCAGAGCUCAGACCUCAUCAGACACCAGAGAACCCUCUCAGGAGAGACUCCCUAUAAAUACCCUGAGUGUGGAAAAAUCUUCAGUCAGAGCUUGAACCUCAGCACCCACCAGAGAAUCCAUACAGGAGAGAAACCCUACACAUGCCACAACUUCAGGAAAAGCUUCGGCCAGAGCUCAGCCCUGACUAGACAUCAAAGGAUCCACCUGAGUUAGCCCUCCACCUUCGGGGCCCUGCCCCAUCCAAAUCAGUGAUGAAAUUCAUGGUGUAAGGGUUGGUUGGGAGCAGGAGGGGAAGCCUCUGGUCACUGGGAUCAUUGGGAAUCAGAGGAUACUGGUGCUAUUGUUAUUUGCAAUGCCUCCUUGUCCUGGAGGGUCUUUUGGCUGUGUCAUAAAUAUAAAGGGAAGGCUAACCACUUUUAAAUCCCUCCUGGCCAGAGGAAAAAACGCUUUCACCUGUAAAAGGUUAAGAAGCUAAAGAUAACCUCGCUGGCACCUGACCAAA